rnacentral:rRNA from 1 species
AGAGUUUGAUCAUGGCUCAGAUUGAACGCUGGCGGCAGGCCUAACACAUGCAAGUCGAACGGUAACAGGAAGCAGCUUGCUGCUUCGCUGACGAGUGGCGGACGGGUGAGUAAUGUCUGGGAAACUGCCUGAUGGAGGGGGAUAACUACUGGAAACGGUGGCUAAUACCGCAUAAUGUCGCAGGACCAAAGAGGGGGACCUUCGGGCCUCUUGCCAUCAGAUGUGCCCAGAUGGGAUUAGCUUGUUGGUGAGGUAACGGCUCACCAAGGCGACGAUCCCUAGCUGGUCUGAGAGGAUGACCAGCCACACUGGAACUGAGACACGGUCCAGACUCCUACGGGAGGCAGCAGUGGGGAAUAUUGCACAAUGGGCGCAAGCCUGAUGCAGCCAUGCCGCGUGUAUGAAGAAGGCCUUCGGGUUGUAAAGUACUUUCAGCGGGGAGGAAGGGGAUAAGGCUAAUAACCUUGUUCAUUGACGUUACCCGCAGAAGAAGCACCGGCUAACUCCGUGCCAGCAGCCGCGGUAAUACGGAGGGUGCAAGCGUUAAUCGGAAUUACUGGGCGUAAAGCGCACGCAGGCGGUCUGUCAAGUCGGAUGUGAAAUCCCCGGGCUCAACCUGGGAACUGCAUUCGAAACUGGCAGGCUUGAGUCUUGUAGAGGGGGGUAGAAUUCCAGGUGUAGCGGUGAAAUGCGUAGAGAUCUGGAGGAAUACCGGUGGCGAAGGCGGCUCCCUGGACAAAGACUGACGCUCAGGUGCGAAAGCGUGGGGAGCAAACAGGAUUAGAUACCCUGGUAGUCCACGCCGUAAACGAUGUCUACUUGGAGGUUGUGCCCUUGAGGCGUGGCUUCCGGAGCUAACGCGUUAAGUAGACCGCCUGGGGAGUACGGCCGCAAGGUUAAAACUCAAAUGAAUUGACGGGGGCCCGCACAAGCGGUGGAGCAUGUGGUUUAAUUCGAUGCAACGCGAAGAACCUUACCUGGUCUUGACAUCCACAGAACUUUCCAGAGAUGGAUUGGUGCCUUCGGGAACUGUGAGACAGGUGCUGCAUGGCUGUCGUCAGCUCGUGUUGUGAAAUGUUGGGUUAAGUCCCGCAACGAGCGCAACCCUUAUCCUUUGUUGCCAGCGGUCCGGCCGGGAACUCAAAGGAGACUGCCAGUGAUAAACUGGAGGAAGGUGGGGAUGACGUCAAGUCAUCAUGGCCCUUACGACCAGGGCUACACACGUGCUACAAUGGCGCAUACAAAGAGAAGCGACCUCGCGAGAGCAAGCGGACCUCAUAAAGUGCGUCGUAGUCCGGACUGGAGUCUGCAACUCGACUCCAUGAAGUCGGAAUCGCUAGUAAUCGUGGAUCAGAAUGCCACGGUGAAUACGUUCCCGGGCCUUGUACACACCGCCCGUCACACCAUGGGAGUGGGUUGCAAAAGAAGUAGGUAGCUUAACCUUCGGGAGGGCGCUUACCACUUUGUGAUUCAUGACUGGGGUGAAGUCGUAACAAGGUAACCGUAGGGGAACCUGCGGUUGGAUCACCU